rnacentral:rRNA from 1 species
UGGGGAAUUUUGGACAAUGGGCGAAAGCCUGAUCCAGCAAUGCCGCGUGUGUGAAGAAGGCCUUCGGGUUGUAAAGCACUUUUGUCCGGAAAGAAAUGGCUCUGGUUAAUACCUGGGGUGCGAUGACGGUACCGGAAGAAUAAGGACCGGCUAACUACGUGCCAGCAGCCGCGGUAAUACGUAGGGUCCAAGCGUUAAUCGGAAUUACUGGGCGUAAAGCGUGCGCAGGCGGUUGUGCAAGACCGAUGUGAAAUCCCCGCGAUACUUAGGAUUGGAUUGGCUGACUGCACGGCUAGAGUGUGUCAGGAGGGGUGANAAUCCACGUGUANCAGUGAAAUGCGUAGAGAUGUGGAGGAAUACCGAUGGCGAAGGCAG